rnacentral:rRNA from 1 species
UACGUAGGGUGCAAGCGUUGUCCGGAAUUAUUGGGCGUAAAGAGCUCGUAGGCGGUUCGUCGCGUCGGCUGUGAAAACCCGGAGCUCAACUCCGGGCCUGCAGUCGAUACGGGCGGACUGGAGUUCGGCAGGGGAGACUGGAAUUCCUGGUGUAGCGGUGAAAUGCGCAGAUAUCAGGAGGAACACCGGUGGCGAAGGCGGGUCUCUGGGCAGUUACUGACACUGAGGCGCGACAGCGUGGGGAGCAAACAGG